GUCUACGGCCAUGCUAUCCUGAACAAGCCCGAUCCCAGUCCCAUCUGAUCUUGGAAGCUAAGCAGGGUCGGGCCUGGUUAGCACUUGAAUGGGAGACCACCUAGGAAGACCAGAUGCUGUAGGUG
rnacentral:rRNA from 1 species